rnacentral:sRNA from 1 species
UCACAGUUUGGUAUAAGAGAGUAAUUUUAUACGGUCGAAGAGGACGACCAUCCCUGCUACAGGAGGGCCAGUCUUCAGUCAAUGGUAUACGAGUAGCUGCACUCCCCUGCUAGAACCUCCAAACAAGCUCUCAAGAGAGUAAUUUUAUUUAGGCAAGUAACUAAAAC